rnacentral:tRNA from 1 species
GGGGGUGUGGUGUAGCCUGGCCUAUCAUCAGGGACUCCAGUUGCCUAUAGGGCACUGGACCAAGGCAGGAGAAAUCCCUGGACCUGGGUUCAAAUCCCAGCACCCCCACCA